AUUGAAAGCUAGCGGGAUGCUUUACACAUGAAAGUCGAACGAGUGGCGGACGGGUGAGUAGUAUAUAGGAACGUGCCCAGUAGCGGGGGAUAAAUACUCGACAGCGUGGCUAAUACCGCAUACUAUGGGAGCGGCCGAUAUCGGAUUAGCUAGUUGGUGGGGUAAAGGCUCACAAAGGCAACGAUCCGUAGCUGGGUUGAGAGGACGACCAGCCACACUGGGACUGAGACACGGCCCAGACUCCUACGGGAGGCAGCAGUGGGGAAUUUUGGACAAUGGGGGAAACCCUGAUCCAGCCAUCCCGCGUGUAUGAGAAGGCCUUCGGGUUGUAAAGUACUUUUGGCAGAGAAGCGGUAUCUGCAGAAUAAGCACCGGCUAACUACGUGCCAGCAGCCGCGGUAAUUC
rnacentral:rRNA from 1 species